rnacentral:tRNA from 1 species
CAAAUUAUUACUAUUAGAAGUUUUAUUAUUUACAUUAAUAAAUUGGAUGUGCAAUUCAUCUUAAUUUGA